rnacentral:rRNA from 1 species
UACGAAGGGGGCUAGCGUUGCUCGGAAUCACUGGGCGUAAAGCGCACGUAGGCGGAUUGUUAAGUCAGGGGUGAAAUCCUGGAGCUCAACUCCAGAACUGCCUUUGAUACUGGCGAUCUUGAGUUCGGGAGAGGUGAGUGGAACUGCGAGUGUAGAGGUGAAAUUCGUAGAUAUUCGCAAGAACACCAGUGGCGAAGGCGGCUCACUGGCCCGAUACUGACGCUGAGGUGACGAAGCGUGGGGAGCAAACAGG